UGUCUUACACCUUAUGUAUCGGAAUCUAACUCUCAUUCCUCUGAAAAUAGUGUCUGUCUCUAAAGUGGGGGAGGGGGGUUAUGAAAGUUAUGUUUUCUUAUCUAUUAGUGUGAAAAAAAUGGAAAUGAAUUGAGUUUGCACUGAAAAUCACUUUCAUUUCACAUUUAGACAGAAGCAACCACCGUAAGCGGGGGAAAGUUUCAACUCCAAUGUGUAUUUAAUGUAAUACCUUUUUAAAGGAAAGUGUGCCUUUACACAUAGUACCUUCACAAACAUUUAGCUAAAAAUAUGUUUACAUACUUCAAUACUAUACCAUAAAAAAUUUAUCUCUCAAUUUACUAGAAUUGUAAAUUUCUGUUUCGCUAACAAUCAAUAUUGUGAAUAUAAUCAAUAUUGUGACUACUUCACUUUAAAUACCAGUACGCUCCUAAUUAUUAUGGUUGUCAAAUUCAAUUAUGGCAAGAAAAAACUGGGAAAUAAGUGAAUAAUGAAUACAAAUCUAAUAUUCUCAAACGGUUACUAAUUUUGAGCAGUCACUUUAAAAAGGAAACAGAUUCAUCUCUUAUUUCCUAAAAACUAAGAAAACUUUUUUCCCGCUUGCGUGCUUCCAUCACAAUUUCAGGUACUUUUACGACUCUUUAAUCAUUUCCAUUUAAAUAAGUGUUGCCAUGUUGCAUGUACAUAGUUACCAACAAUUCUAUGUCUGAAAGCACUAAAUAUUUCGGCGGAUUAGGUACAUUUUUUUUUCUUACUUCAGGCCCAUAUUUUCUGAUGUUUUUCACUUGAUAGAGCGAUGCAAAUUUCCUAUUGCCUUUUCUAGGCUGUCUUGAAAACUGAAUUUAAAGUUGCAGAAAUCACUUCGCGGACUAUUUCUAUUCAGCAAAAGUGUAGUAAUAAUAUUACUAAAUCUAGAGGAUAGAGUUGCCUUAGCACAGUGAUCCCUUCACAUGUCUAAUAGAAGCUAAGCUACGUUUUCCCUCAUGAAAUUCAUUUAUGCCCAGUAUUUGUAACGCCUUUCGUUGCGCCUAAUUGCGUAGGCUUUCAAUUUCCUUUUAUUUUACCUAUAAAAUGUCCGAGGUUUUUUUCCCGAUAAAAUUAAAAGUCAGGGAAGAAUUACGAAAUUUUUUUCAUUACUUAUCAACCAAACAUGACCGACAUCUUCGCGGUAAAACCUCCCGCGCAUUUAAUCGACUUCAGAGAAAAAAAAAAGAAAAAAAACCACUAUGCUGCGGCAUCAAAACCUUAGUCACUUCCUACAUAGGAGGUACUGAAUCCCAGUUUUGUAAAAGUUGACUGUCAAAUUCUAGGUAUAACUCAAAGGCAGUUCGCCGAAAACAAUCAACCGUAUUUUACAAAUAAUUCAGUGGCGAGGCGUGAAUGAUCGAUUAAUGAUAUUUUUCCAUUUGAAGCUGUGAUAAAGAAUUGAUCAUUGAGAUGUUCGUUGCAAAUACCCUGUUCAUCGAUCCUUUUCCAUAGGUCUAAAUGGCAGAUCAAUCGAUAUAUGGCAAAACACGCCACGCCACUGAAAGUCCGAUGCCCUUUCGAUAGAAGGUGUAAGAAAUAUUCAUAAGUAUCAAUAGAAAAUUCUGCCCCAAGUAACAAACAAUCUCCUUGUUUUUCUACUUCAGUAGGUUCAUUAUCGGGAAUUUCAAUUUUUGAAAAUUUUACUAAAUAAUGGAUGCUUAUUAGGAACUGUAUUGUAUCUAGUGAGAUUCUCUAGUUUUUGUAAAAUGUGUAUAUUCCAGUUGUGAGUUAUGAAAAAAGUGAGCUUGUCGUUAGCGAAACCUAUACCAUUUGAGCUGAAAGCUCCUAGAAAAGCGAUUUUGAGUAACUAAGUUCGAACUUAGUGAAUCUCUGGCAAAUUGUAGCAGCUGUCAUCAUAGAGAGGGCUAGAUGUUCAUCCGUUUGAACAUUCAACAUUUUUUAGAGCCUCUCCCUCCUUCUGUCUUGAACUUUCUAACUAUAGCUGAUUUUAUGUGUGCUCGGAUGUAGGAUAGUGCAAGUGCAUGCUACUUACUGGAUGUCUGUGCUUAGUUCCUUAAGCAGUUAGGUUCUCGUUGGUUUUACUUUUAGGUAAAAAUUAUAUUAUCAUCAAGGAUGUCAAAUACACAUCCAUCUCAUGUUAGGCUCGAAAAUAUCGGAUUGAUGUUUUUAAUAUGUAAUGAGUAAAGUCUAGAAGGAAGUUCUUUGCAAGUAAAGUUUUGGCUAGGGUAUGAGUUGGUUGUUGCUUAUGAUGAAAAUUAAAGUUUAAAAAAAAAAAAAAAAAAAAAAAAAAAAAAAAAAAAAAAAAAAAAACAUUCCUAACGACUUAAUCCAUCUUGUGUCUGUAAAUUACAACCAAAUCGUCCAAUCAAAUUCUGAAACAUUGUAUUGGACAUUUGACGUUUUCGCAAGAGCCGAUUCAAUUGUUAAAAAAGAAGGACACCAACCCCCCUCCCUCAUCAGUGCUACCCAACCGUCAUGUGUUUUCGUGACCCUUCCUCAAUUGUCAUUCUACUUCGCUGCCCGAUAUCAUCUCGUGCUUUUGAACGUUCUUGUAUUACCGAUGUAAUGCGCUCCAUAUGCUGGACCGUGAUAAUCAUGUAAAUUCAAAACUGAGUUCUGAGAGGAGCUCUUAAUAUCGUCUGCAUAUUCGCUCGGCGGAACCGGUCACUCGGCCAUUUAACCAAAUGAGACGUGAAGAAAUCCUUUUUUAUUUCAUUUGUUUUAGAAGUGCAGUUUGGGAUGAUCGAUUCGAUAUUUUUCGCGCCUAAGUUAAGGAGAGGCGAACAGUUUCCCGUCGAGACCGAGUGUGCCAAGGAGUUGAAUGUGGAAACGAAAUGUUUCUCCCCCACUCCUCCUCCACUCCUCUCCCUCCCUUAUUUCUUACGAGGCGUAGGAUUUAAUCGGUAUUGCCCCCAUUCUUUGCUCACUUGUUUCAUCGCUAAAUUUUUCCAUUAGUAUUCAUGAGUCUCCGUGAAACUUCUUGAAUUUGUUCAGCGGUACCUUUCCUUACUUUUUGUUGCUUUAUUUUCAUUCUCGGCGCAUAUCUCCAGUCAGUUUUGUUGAUUAUCUCAUCGACGUAAAGCCCCCUUCCUUCAUACUUCAGUUCGCUACAUUAGCGUUCUUGUCGUCCGAUACUUCCGGCUUUCGCGUCCUACAAAACGAGUCCAUAUGAUUUUAGAAAGAAAUUAUUAGUCGUAGUAAUAAUACAAAUUCAGCAUAUUAUUUGCCAACUAGGAGCGACUUCCUCACUUAACUUGUAUCGUUUAUCCAAGGAUUUCCCUCCAUGGUCAUUGAAAUGGAGUUCUUGGAUGUGUCAGGAAUUUGCGAUUCAAGUACUGACUCAUAUGUAAAAUUUCGCGAAAAACACGAUGGUCUCACUGAUUUUCUUCGUAACAAACUCCAAAGCUCAUGGAAAGCUCUCUAAGUUGAAGCCCUAACGGAGGGGAUAUCCCAAGCUAUCCUGAAAGUCCACCUCUUUAAUUCUACAUCAAGACAAACUCCUUAUGCAAAGAUGGGGGAGCAAAUACAUCAACAGGGUUGCCACUUUGUUGGGGGGCUCUAAAACUGAAAACACGGCAACCCUGCUGAGUAUUUGCUCUCUAUCUUUACAAAGAGUUCGUCUGCAUAUCGAGGUGGACUAAACCCAGCGUUGCCUUCUUCCAAGAAUCGUUAUUAUAUUAAUCAUUAUCAUAUUUACCAUAGGGAAUUAUUGAAA